rnacentral:lncRNA from 1 species
GAACUAUCUGAUGCAGAGGGCAAGCCUGGGAGCCUGGCAAAGGUGAUGACUAGGAAGCUUCUUAGAGAUCUGGAACGGUCACAUGAUGAUUGAGAUAGAGAUGGGAGUGACACAUUUGCCACUUUGUGACACUAAAAGCCGAGGAAUGCCAAAGACUUCUGGCAUCCGCUAGCAGCUGGGAGAGAGCCCUGGAAACUGCAGACAGAGCUGGUGACGAGUUCUUCACCCAAGAGAGAAGCCAGAAGAAUCAUGUGUCUGGCCGUGGUGUUUAGGCCUACACGGCUGUCCAGGGAACAAUCAAAAACACCCACAUAGCUAUCACACUGAACGGAUAUGGCAGAGGCGGGGACACAAGUGUGACAAGGGCAGUGAAGGCCAACUUUAGACACCUGUGUCUUGGUGCCUCCAGGACCCUAACUCCCACAGCCCUGGUAACCCAACAGAACCUGAGUGACUCCAGGAAAUGGACGCCCAAUGGUUUUUCUGUUCAAGAAAUGAAACUCAGCCUCUACCCACAUCCUCCACCAAAACCAGGGCUUCCAUGUUGCCAUAACAACAGCUCUGGUAAGCUGGGCAGUUCAGGAGCCUCAGGAGUAGAGACUGUGUCUGGUUUCUGGAUGGCACUUAUCUCUGAAGGCAUCAGACUUCACUUUCUUUC